rnacentral:lncRNA from 1 species
GAUGGAAUAGAGACUUCACCAAGUCACUGGAUAUUGGGCUCCUUUGAGCUUUCUUUUCCAUCACCUUCAGCUGGUGGCUUCCAUCCUGAAGGCCACUGCAUGAUUGAGAUGGCUUUCUUAGAGCUAGCCGUCCCCUCUUCUCCUCAGGCAGCAGGAAGAUGGAAGGAGGUAAGGACAAAAGGUCUACCCUUCCAUCUGAAUAUGUUCUCCUUUCACAAUCUUCCUCUAAGUUCCAGAAAACUUUGCUUCUUCUAUGUCAUUGAUCAGAAUUUCAUCACAUGACCAUACUUGGCAAAGGAGGCUGCAGAGGUAAUUUCUACGCAGGCUUAUUGUCACCCUCUAUGCCUAAAAAGAGGGACAAAUGAGUAUUGGGUGGCAAUUUCCAUUUUCUGCUAUAGGAAGUUAAAAUCUACUUGGGGAAGCAAGAACCUGAAGUCUUAAAGAGGCAAUUAAUAGUAUAUUGGGAAGGGGCAAGUGAUGGGUUGCUAAAAUUUGGAGGAGGCAGUGUAGGUGUCAACGCACUCCAGGAAAGUGUCUUGGAAGAACUAGGAUUUGAAGUCCUUUUUGAGGAUGAGAAGGACUCAGGAGACACAAAAGACUGGGGAAGACAUCUCAGCAGGAAAGCAAUAACCUCAGCAGAAGCCUAGAAGCUGGACAAUGCAGAUCAGCUCUCGGGGCAGAAGCAACAGAGACCAAAUGUUAAGCUGCAAAGUAAUGGAGUCUUUGGCUGGAAGGGAAGGAAAACAGACUGAUUUUUUUUUGUAAUUGUCUAAGGCACUAAGACCACUUGGCCAGGAUAAAAUGUGAAUACUGAACUUCCUUGUUACUGGAAUUGACACUCCUGUAUUUAUACACAACUCACGCCAGUAGAAAUGAUCGCACUGUUUACUCCAGUAAGUUUCACUCAUUUUGGGAUUGUCCAAGAUAGCACAAAGAGUGUAGCCAGUGACUAUAUGACAACACUAAUCAAAAUAAAGACGUGGGAUGCCUGAGCCGACAGCCCAAGGCUAUAAUUCAUUAAAUGGAGGAAGAAAAAGCCUACAGAUAGAGAGUUCUGGGCCCCUCUCCUAAAUAUUAAUUGUUUAUUUCAUGAUUCUUCUCCAUUCUAAACAGACCUUAAACUGCCCCUUCUUAAUAUGCUCCCAUAAAGGAUUAUAAACUAGAAAGGAGGUUGGUUUAAACAAAGUAAUCAGAAAGUAAGCAACCUUCUUCUCUUUCUCUCUGGCUGGAAACUUGUUUUGUCUGUUAAGGAACUUUUCUCUUCAGCACACAGACCUCAAGGUCAAACAGAGGUCACUCUUCUGCUUUUUGAGGUAUGGGUGCUUUCACGUUAUUUGCUCAUUUUUAUUGCUGAGAAUAACCAUCCAUUUGCCCACAUAACCAGGGCCUCCUCAACACAAAGACUUGAGAGUGGGCACUGGCAGGGGGUUAAUCCCAUUCAACACAAAGCAAACAAGUUCAAAUCUCAUUAAAUGUCGGACUUUGCUGCAAGAAUACAAAUAUUUCCAAUUUAGAAAAGGAAGAUAGAAAUGUGACACAGAAGUAUUCUAAUCAUUUAGUAGAAUAAAUCGUACCAACAUGAUCCUAAAACUGUCAACUGGGUGGAAAAAAAGAAUAAAACUCCAUUAAUAAUACAACAGUAAUGCUUACUUUUUCACAUGAGGAAAAUUCCAUUAUAACAAACAGCCCGAGGCUUUCAAAUUGCUUUUGUUCUAGAUCAGUGGAAUAUUGUUAUAAAGAAUAUAUUACUAGCAAUGAUAGUUUGGGUCUAAAGAUGAAACCUAGCUGAUUUUUUAUAGUGAACUAACAGAGAUGGCAGUGCCAUGUGUGAAUAACCUCCUUUGUGCAAAUUUUUAAAAGGUAGACUUUUCAUGUGGGCACACGGCUUGGUGAGGAGAAUGCAGGUUGGCAUUCAACUCCAUUUGCCUCCUCAGUCAGAGCACCUUCUGCAGAUGCUCUGGUUGCACAAGAUUGUUCUUUUAAGACCUAUGUUAAGUUGAUUCUCUGAAAUUACUUUCCUUGAGUCUAUGGGAUAAACCUUCUGUAUGCCUCCUUUUUAGCUAUAAGGUCCUCUGUGAUAGAAUUUCUCAUUCAAAGAUGUGGACCAAUGUUUUUUCCUUUGGUAAAUUCAUCCUACAAGGAUCUUGCGAGACCCCUGUAUCCCUAACAAUGCCAUGAUCAUGGUGCCUUGGGCAAGAUACAGGCCAAGGUUGGCCAGAGGCCUUGACCUUACAGGCAGGAUCCUCAACUGCCCUGUGAUCGCCAAGGGAGCAGUCUUAGCUUGGGCUCCCUUAAGAGCAGAUCUUAAGACAAAGAUUUGGAUAUGAAUAGUUAACUUUGGAGGUAGUCCCAGGAGGCAUAGUGGUUGAGGAAAUGAGACAAGGAAAAGACAACUGGCAAUAGAGCUGGCUAUGCGAACCCAACUAGCAUCCAUGAGAGCGUGGGUUCGAUCCCUGGCCUUGCUCAGUAGGUUAAGGAUCUGGCAUUGCCCUGAGCUGUGGGAUAGGUCAAAGACGUGGCUCAGAUCCUGCAUUGCUGUGGCUCUGGCAUAGGCCGGCAGCUGCAGUUCUAAUUGGAUUCCUAGCCUGGGAACCUCCAUAUGCCACA